rnacentral:rRNA from 1 species
UAGUACACUUAAAUUUAAUUAAUAAAUACUAGGAUAUUAAAAGUUAUGUUCUUUAAAUUUAAAAAAUUUGGCGGUGUUUUAGUCUAGUUAGAGGAACCUGUUUUAUAAACGAUACAACACGCAUUAUUUUACUUGUUUUAGUAAGUCAGCUUGUAUACCGUCAUUAUAAGAUAAUUUAAGAGAAAAUAUUAUUGGGAUCAUAUUAUUGAGUAUAUUAGAUCAAGGUGCAGCUUAUGAAUAAGAAGGCAUGGGUUACAAUAAAAUUUAUUUAAUAUGGAUUAAGUGUUUAAAUAUAUUUAUGAAGGAGGAUUUAAUUGUAAGAGGGAAAGUAGUGAGGUUUUCUGAUAAAAGCUCUAAAUUAU